AUUGACAGAGUUUGAUCCUGGCUCAGAGCGAACGCUGGCGGCAGGCUUAACACAUGCAAGUCGAACGGGCGUAGCAAUCCGUCAGUGGCAGACGGGUGAGUAACGCGUGGGAACGUACCUUUUGGUUCGGAACAACUGAGGGAAACUUCAGCUAAUACCGGAUAAGCCCUUACGGGGAAAGAUUUAUCGCCGAAAGAUCGGCCCGCGUCUGAUUAGCUAGUUGGUGAGGUAAUGGCCCACCAAGGCGACGAUCAGUAGCUGGUCUGAGAGGAUGAUCAGCCACAUUGGGACUGAGACACGGCCCAAACUCCUACGGGAGGCAGCAGUGGGGAAUAUUGGACAAUGGGCGCAAGCCUGAUCCAGCCAUGCCGCGUGAGUGAUGAAGGCCCUAGGGUUGUAAAGCUCUUUUGUGCGGGAAGAUAAUGACGGUACCGCAAGAAUAAGCCCCGGCUAACUUCGUGCCAGCAGCCGCGGUAAUACGAAGGGGGCUAGCGUU
rnacentral:rRNA from 1 species